UACGUAGGGUGCGAGCGUUGUCCGGAAUUAUUGGGCGUAAAGGGCUCGUAGGCGGUUUGUCGCGUCGGGAGUGAAAACCUCGGGCUUAACUCGGGGCUUGCUUUCGAUACGGGCAGACUAGAGGUAUGCAGGGGAGAACGGAAUUCCUGGUGUAGCGGUGAAAUGCGCAGAUAUCAGGAGGAACACCGGUGGCGAAGGCGGAUCUCUGGGCCUUGCCUGACGCUGAGGCGCGAAAGCUAGGGGAGCGAACAGG
rnacentral:rRNA from 1 species